AGUGAACGCUGGCGGUAGGCCUAACACAUGCAAGUCGAACGGCAGCACAGUAAGAGCUUGCUCUUACGGGUGGCGAGUGGCGGACGGGUGAGGAAUACAUCGGAAUCUACUUUUUCGUGGGGGAUAACGUAGGGAAACUUACGCUAAUACCGCAUACGACCUACGGGUGAAAGCAGGGGAUCUUCGGACCUUGCGCGAUUGAAUGAGCCGAUGUCGGAUUAGCUAGUUGGCGGGGUAAAGGCCCACCAAGGCGACGAUCCGUAGCUGGUCUGAGAGGAUGAUCAGCCACACUGGAACUGAGACACGGUCCAGACUCCUACGGGAGGCAGCAGUGGGGAAUAUUGGACAAUGGGCGCAAGCCUGAUCCAGCCAUACCGCGUGGGUGAGGAAGGCCUUCGGGUUGUAAAGCCCUUUUGUUGGGAAAGAAAAGCAGCAGGUUAAUACCCCGCUGUUCUGACGGUACCCAAAGAAUAAGCACCAGCUAACUUCGUG
rnacentral:rRNA from 1 species